UAACAGGGGGUGCAGAAGAGAGCGACCAGAGAACAGCUAUUGGUAGCAGAGAGCGUCAUAGUGGCUGGGCGUUGGGAAACAGCGGGAUGUGUCGGUGUGGUACGAGGACUGACGCUGGGAUGAGAUGUAAUUUACAGCGAGUGCUGUUUGAUUGUGGGACAGUGACGGUGAUACCACUGCUUAGUAUGAGUAUUGGGAUCACUUGACAUGACAGCCCUGCACUGACAAGCUUAUUGUACUUAAUCAUACAUGUGGUAAAUAUAACAUUAACAAUAAAUUAAUAGUCAUUCUCAGAAUAGAUUUUAAGAGGCUGCCCUCUCUUUAUUUUAUUGCUCAGUUCACAUUUUGCUUUUUCAUUAAGUGCAUUACUGGAGUGUUUAUCAAGUACUAUUCCAAGCUUUUCUACUCAGAAAUGAAUCCAAGCAUCCGGGAACUCAAAUUCUUUCUCAAUGAUUUGUUUUGGAAAAAAAAACAUAGUAUGCUUUUUGGGAAACUGGCAGCUGAUCUUUUUCAUAGCUAGAGGUCAACAUGACACUCAGUAUUAAUAAAACAAAUAAGACUAGGAUGGAUAUUAAUGAUGAUAUAUACAGAUGCACUGCGCAUGAGCUUGAAUUAUGUGUGAACAUGCUGAAGGAGAGCAAAGGAAAGACACUCACAGAUGUUUGUGUGUUUACUUGUCUGUGUGUGAUAGCCAGUCAGUUUCCCUCAUAUGUUCCCUUUGACUUUUGACCCCACAGUUGGGGUCAAGCCCUGACAAAUGAGAUGGUCGAGUUUUGGCCAGAACUGCAAACAUUCCACAACAAUCUUAUGUCCUCCUCCUCCCCUCAUAUCCGUCAUUCCUCACCCCUUCACUCCUCUCAGUAUGUCUCUUCCAUGACUUGGACAGAGUCAGAGAAAGUUCUCAUUACAAACAAACAUGUUUUAUUGUAUUUGCUGUGGUAAUUUUAAAGCACACACCCUUCAAAUUAAGAAUUACAACAUGGGUUCAAUUUAAUAUCCCUGACAUCUGCCUUGUUCACAGAAGGAAAGAAAACAAAAGAGUAUGGUUUUAGAGGAGAAGCUGUGUCAAAGAUUUGGAUAUUACAACCCUGCACUUUGAAAGCACACUGUGUGUGUUUGGAAAGCUUGUCAGUGAUGUCAAGGAUGAGAAAUGUUGCAGUGUGGUUUUUUACACACGCUGCUGGCUCUAGCAUUUCCGGCAACAUUUCUCACUCUGCCUCCCUCACACCAUCCGCUCUGCUGCAAUAUCCCCACAUUUUUUCAUCCUUUCACUUUUUCCCCUACUCUCCCUCCCUCUCUGUUUGCCUUCUCUCCGCUCUCUGACCACUCUUGCUCCCUUUACCCUUCCUCUCUGCUGCACCACCCUGCCCAAUCUCAGCCUCUCCCUCCCUUCUCUCUCCUCCCAGCACAUUCACUCACUCACCCCCCUCCUUCCCUUUUUCCUCCACCCACUAUUUUUUCAGAUUUUCAAACAUGCCGUUCCACAGAAUGCUACCACCUGUGUCUUUAGGGGGAAAAGGGGGGCUAUGGGGGCUUCCUCUUCAGGAAGCUGGUUAAGGUAAGUGGAACCCUCUAUUACAAUGACACGGCAAAUAAUGGUUCUGCUUGUUGUGUUUCUGUAUUAACUUUUUUUCAUGGAAUGACCCCGGCUUCCUAAGCAUCACUACCCUCCAUCAGAGCUCUAGCUACAAGUCACUGCUGUAAAAACACACACAGUCACCAUCAAUGAACGUCAGCAGAGCAGAGUGCCACAAAAGGAGCCUAGAGACCAACAGAGCCGGCUGAUAGUAACAUCGAGUGGAUCAUGCUCUUGAACUUGCUUUCAUAAUGAUGUAAUAUUACUAAAAGGCAAUGCAACACAGCAAAGAUCUUAAUAAAAACACAUCAAUCUCGA